rnacentral:lncRNA from 1 species
GGUUCCCCUUCUGUCUCUCUUAGGCGGAAGCUUUCUGUCCCCCAAUAAAUUUUUCCUACUCUUAACCUCCAUUGUUCCUAGAAUUCAUUCUUCAAUUGUAGAGAACACAAACUCACAUUUCAGAUAUCUAGUAGGUUUGGGAGUUACAUCUCUUCCCCCUAUAUCACUAUCACUCUCUGGAUUACUGAAGUCACCUCUGAGUUCCUUCCUUGGUCUUGCUCUAAGACUCAUUUUCUCACUAUAGCCAGAGUGAUUUUAAAACAAAAAUUUGAUCAAACCAUACCCCUGGCUAUAUCUUAUAGUGGCUUUCCAUCACCCUUCCACAGUGCUUCUCAAUUCUGAAUCAGUAUUAGGAGGGCUCAGGCUACUAAAAAUACAUGCUGCCCAGCUCCCUCCCAUCUCAGCUGAUUCAGGAUCUCCAGAAAAGGACCUUCCCUCCCACAGAGAGGAGCUCCAGUCUUCACAUCACCUUGGGCUUCUGCCUCAAGGCUUCCAGCACAGACUCUUCAGGGUCUUGAUACAGACUCACAUGGGACACUGCUGUAAGCUCCCAGCCUUUAACUUAACUGGAUCCUUUGGCUCUUGGGCAGGAAGAUGGCCCUUUUGAUUUCUUCCACACCUGAUGCUGCAGGCAGCCAUUGUAAGUCUACUUUAUAAAUCCUUUAAUAUAAUCAUAAUAACAAUAUCUAAUAAUCUAAUUAGCAUAUAGCUAAUAUAUAGAGAGACAAAUAUUACACUUGUUCCUCUAGUGAACCCUAACUGAUAUACCUAUGAAUGGAUUAUCUUUCUGUGGAUGGGCCAUCCUUCCCAACUACUGGACCAGGACUAAGACUGUAUCAAUGGUGGUGAACCUUUUAGAGCUUUCUAUGAUACUGUGGGACUGCAUAACUGUAAUCAUAAAAGCUCCCCCAGCCCCAACAUAGUGACUGAUUGUGAGUUAAUGGUUAAAAUGUGCUUGUUAGUUCUGGGACACUAGAUAAAAUCUGUAACAAACAUAGAGUUCCUAAGUGAAUUACCCAACUCCUUGUUUGUCUGAAACCGAUGUCCCGGACACAGCUAUCCAUAAGACAAUCUACAAACAUCUUUUGACCAUCAACAUUUUUUUCUCUUUUCUGUAAGUUCUGCUUGCUAACUUCCCCUGCCACCCCCUAUAAAAACAGCCUCGGACUCUGAGCCAGUUGCCUCUCUAAGCUACUUUGCUUUGGGAGUGCUGUCUGGCCAGACUAAUAAAGGUCUGUUUUACUUUCCAACUUGUCCAGUGUGUUCCUUCCCAGGUGUUCUUCACUGCAUUCAGCUCCUCGGAGCAUUUGGUAAGGCUCCUGGUCUUACAAUACAAUCAGCCCACUAUUGCAUGCAAGCCAUAGGUUUGCCACCACUGAUAAAAAUUAUCAAAUUUCACACUUACAUCACCAAACAUAUAAAUAUUUCCAGUUCUUAACUGUAGUGCCUCUCAUUUCUCUGACUGCUUGCACACCACUUGAGUGCAUUCUAAAAUCUCUGCCUAAUAAACCCUUCCUGUGCCUCUUAUUGGUGCAUCAUGAAAAUUCAUUUUCUGUGAUGGGAGUCAGCAACCUACAAACUUAUUCUACAAAACAGUGGGCUAAGUUCCUCACUCCAGCUUUGGGAACCUCUCAGACCCAGCUUGGUGA